CCUAUCAGCUUGUUGGUGAGGUAAUGGCUCACCAAGGCGACGACGGGUAGCCGGCCUGAGAGGGUGACCGGCCACACUGGGACUGAGACACGGCCCAGACUCCUACGGGAGGCAGCAGUGGGGAAUAUUGCACAAUGGGCGAAAGCCUGAUGCAGCAACGCCGCGUGAGGGAUGACGGCCUUCGGGUUGUAAACCUCUUUUAGUAGGGAAGAAGGGAGCUUCGGUUCUUGACGGUACCUGCAGAAAAAGCACCGGCUAACUACGUGCCAGCAGCCGCGGUAAUACGUAGGGUGCAAGCGUUGUCCGGAAUUAUUGGGCGUAAAGAGCUCGUAGGCGGUUUGUCGCGUCUGCUGUGAAAUCCCGAGGCUCAACCUCGGGCUUGCAGUGGGUACGGGCAGACUA
rnacentral:rRNA from 7 species